AUGGGUAUUGCUUCUGUACCUUAUGAAUGUACAUCGUCGUUCACGGAAUCGUUCUCUUGGUUAGUGUUGAGCUGUUGUGUAGCUUCACCAUUGGAAACUGUUACUUAUCUAUUCAGCUUCCUUUUUCUAUCUUUUUUUUUCUCGAGAAAACGCAAAGACUUUGCGUUUCUUUCAUUGAAAAGUGGGGGAACAGGUUACACGCCUCCUAGGAUAUCUGUCUAUGAAUUAAUGCACAAACUUCUAAGCCUCAAGAUGUUGAUUCUAUCCAAUUUUGGUAUAGUUAUCUUAAAUUUAUUGAUCUUUGUAUUGCUGCUCAAUGUUCUAAGCAUGGAUAUAAUGACUAUGUCUCAUUUUGUUAUUAUUGCCAUGUAA
rnacentral:rRNA from 1 species